UACGAAGGGUGCAAGCGUUAAUCGGAAUUACUGGGCGUAAAGGGCUCGUAGGCGGCCAACUAAGUCGGAUGUGAAAUCCCCAGGCUUAACCUGGGAACUGCAUCCGAUACUGGAUGGCUUGAAUCCGGGAGAGGGAUGCAGAAUUCCAGGUGUAGCGGUGAAAUGCGUAGAUAUCUGGAGGAAUACCGGUGGCGAAGGCGGCAUCCUGGACCGGCAUUGACGCUGAGUGAGCGAAAGCCAGGGGAGCAAACGGG
rnacentral:rRNA from 1 species